CCUACGGGAGGCUGCAGUGAGGAAUAUUGGUCAAUGGGCGGGAGCCUGAACCAGCCAAGUCGCGUGAAGGAAGAAGGUUCUUAGUAUUGUAAACUUCUUUUGCCGGGGCACAAAGGCGGAGACGCGUCUCCGGAUGAGUGUACCCGAAGAAAAAGCAUCGGCAAACUCCGUGCCAGCAGCCGCGGUAAUACGGGGGAUGCGAGCGUUAUCCGGAUUUAUUGGGCUAAAAGGGUGCGCAGGGGGGAGAUCAAGUCAGCGGGAAAAUGUCGGGGCUAACCCCCGGCCGGCCGUUGAAACUGGUUUUCUAGAGUUGUGGAGAGGCAUGCGGAAUUCGUAGUGUAGCGGUGAAAUGCAUAGAUAUCACGAAGAACACCAGUUGCGAAGGCAGCAUACCGGCUCCAUACUGACGCUGAGGCACGAAAGCGUGGGGAUCGAACAGGAUUAGAUACCCUUGUAGUC
rnacentral:rRNA from 1 species